AUUGAACGCUGGCGGCAGGCCUAACACAUGCAAGUCGAACGAGUGGCGGACGGGUGAGUAAUGUCUGGGAAACUGCCUGCUGGUGGGGGAUAACUACUGGAAACGGUAGCUAAUACCGCAUACCAUCGGAUGUGCCCAGAUGGUCUUAGCUUGUAGGUGGGGUAACGGGUCACCUAGGCGACGAUGCCUAGCUGGUCUGAGAGGAUGACAGGCCACACUGGAGCGGAGACACGGUCAAGACGACUACGGGAGGCAGCAGUGGGGAAUAUGGCACAAUGGGCGCAAGCAUGAUGCAGCCAGGCGGCGUGUAUGAAGAAGGCCUUCGGGUUGUAAAGUACUUUCAGCGGGGAGGCGUUACCCGCAGAAGAAGCACCGGCUAACUCCGUGCCAGCAGCCGCGGUAAUUC
rnacentral:rRNA from 1 species